AACAGCAGCGGAUGCUAAGAAAUAGAUAGUGUAGUGUAGCAGCGAGCGGAAGAGGAUGGAACAAAAUUUUGGGCAGUAAUUUCUAGUGGUUCAGAAAGCUCUGGAAGUUCCAAGUGACAUAUAGUGAUGCCACAUGAGGGAAUGAAAAGAAGAAUUCUGUUUUCAGCAUCUUGUUGUCAAUCAUAAUAUUGAAUUCAGAUCUUCAUCAACUGGGCCUUGUGCCAAUAAUAUAGAACGUUAUUGGUCAGCCAUAAAAUCUAUUGUAGGGAGGAGCAAACGACGCAUUUUGACACUACAGAGUCAUUUAGAUGAAUGUUCAUGGAGGCGUAGUUUACCCGAUUCAUAUUGCCCGUUUCAGUGUUUCCUUAAACGUGUUGGGCAAAUAUAUCCACAAAAAUUUGUUAAUUUCCGGUAGGGAUUGGGGGUGGGGUAAAUGAUAAUCAAGGAAAAGGGUAGGUUUGCUCAGGAUGGUUAAAAUAUUGAUUUGAAUUUCUGAGGUUGAUCCAUCAUUAUUCAUUUCCUUAUAUUGGGUAAUACUACUUCAGGUCAUACCUACCGUUGGUGUGAACUUCUGGGUUUAUCUGUUUGUAUGUAUGUGUUUUUUGUGAUGUGUUUCUUGUGUAUGUGAUUUUCCUUGUCUUUCAAGCCGAGCUUUGGUUAUUUGCGGAGGAGUUUGCGUAUGUGAACAAGCACAAGAAGUGGUGAAAACUGCCAUCCGUAUUUAUACAUCAUCUGAAGCCCGUGCCAGGUGUUUCCUGUAGAAUUGAGAAGGCGUAUUAUUUCUCAAAGGCAAUGAAGUUCACACUUCUGUUUAUCAAAACAGUGACUAUACCUGAUGGAAAUUUGUAGGAGGAAGAGGAAAUUACGCCUACUGUGUAACAGUUUUGUGAAUUCUCUCUCAACAAUUAUCUGGGCAGAGGAGAAAGCUGAACUGCUUGUGGGGACCAGCCUGAUACAUCCCUUGCUAUGGUUACAUAUAGCCCCCAAUUAUGGUGAUAGUGGGACACCGCACCUGCCAUGUAUGGAUCAUGAAGACUAAUUUGUGGGAGCAAAACAAAUGGGUUGGACAAAGCAGCUUAGGACUAUUGUUGGCAAUUAUAGUCACAUCAGUCAAUGUGAGCAGUUAUAUGCUCCAUCUUGAAUGCCUAUAAUGUGCCUUAACUAUUUGUGAUAGUGAAAGUAUGUAUUCUAUAAAUAAGUGUAUAUCUAUUAGAAAGUGUAUGUGGCUGUAACACUGAAGCAGUUAACAGCGAGAACUGUGUAUAUCAAAAAUCAAGUGUGCUGGUGAAAGACGUAUCAGCGAGCCUCACACAUUAGACAUCUGGUGUUGCAGUCAGGGCCUGGAAUACACCAUACAGGAGGUGUGCUGCCACACUUCCAUGAGAAGUCAUCACCAAAAGAUGUAGUAGGCUGGUGGAAAACACUUGAUGCUGUCAUCACUACAUGAAUAUUUUGCAGUACCACUGAACCAGCUUUGCAUGUUCGACCAAUGAUGACAGUGGGAAUAAAAUGGACGAAUGUGUUAGCCCUCAGUAUCACUUCACAACUUAAAGGGCCAUCAAGGAUCUGUGCUGAUAAUCAUCCUGUGCACACCAAAAGUAAUUCAUUUUCCAUGACGAGACUGGAUGUGACAACGGGUCUGGUGCAACAUUGGAAACAGUCUUCUGUGGGUGAGCAUCGCUACCCUUGUGUUCGUCAGAUUUGCUUCUCUUUGGUGUGCAGCCACCAGCAGAACAUUGUUCCUAGAUAUACUGAAAAUUCCAGGUUUCUUAGAUUCCUGCCAUUGAAUCUUUUCAUCUUGAUGCCAUUGGCCCACUGUCAUCAGGGGGCAGUGGGUGCUUAACAUUCCUUACUGAAAGGAAGUUGGUGCCUGGUGGAUGCAUACCUGACCACAGCCCUAAGGUCAGCAGCUGCUGUUCUUCAGUUUUGCUUUGACAUCAGAUUUAUAGAGAAAAAACAUCAUGAGUUACAUCUUGAGACUUAGGAACUGAAGGACAUGAACCUGAAUGUGCCUUAAAACCUUUCUCCUGUGGCAGAUGUUUUGGCUGUUCUGUGGACUGUGACUUUGACAGACUCUGCUCCUAAACUAAUGGUGGUGGUCAUAACUUGGUGAUGUCUCUCAGCACUUCCAGAAUAAUUAAGUGUGCAGCAAGAAACGUGUUGUCAGCCAUCUCUUACUGGAGGGAGAAUCAUUGUUCCGCACUCUUGAUUCACUCGAUCUGCAGUACUGUGAGACACUGGAGUGAGCAUUGCUAUUACACUGGACAAUAAAAUGAAGGACCCUGUAGUACAUGGAGUGACGUGUCCAUGACAGUUAAACUACUUUUCUGUAUGCACCAGCAGCUGUGUAGGCACAACAGUUCAGUUCUCUAUUUAUGCGUUUGUUAUGCCUUUGUAUUUUUUAAUGUUCUCAUUGUUGUGCUUGUAAAAAUCAGUAAUUUUUUAUUACUUAUGAGUGUUCUGUUUCAAAUGUUUGCAGAGACAAAAUCAUGUUUUCUGUAAUGCCCUCAACAUUUCUGUACCUGUUUUUAAACUACUUUAAUCGCUCUCUGUCCAUUUAUUUUACCUCUAAUUUCUUAAGACCUCUGUAAUACUUUGUCGUUGCAGAACAUGAAAUUGCAUUAUGUGAGCAAUGAUUGAGUGCCAUGACAUUAAUCAUAGCAAUAACAUCAACAAUAAUAAUAUUACUCUAGUGAAUGGAUAGUCCAUUGGGAACUAUUUCUUAAUUACAUCAGACAAGUUAAUUGUUAAUUAAUGUAGUGCUAUCUGUGUUGUGCUUACCAUUUGACCAAUUUCAAAUGAACAAGAUAAUUGUAUUAAACAGUUAAGUUUUGCUGUGCAAAUUUGUUGCUGCAGCAGUAUUUCUGUAUUUCCACAACUAAAUAAAUUAAAAUUACAUAAUCUGUCUCAGAGAAUUGUAUAUUCGUUUGGGUGUACACCAGCAUAUCAUUUCUUUAUUAGCGUGUUCGAAUAUUAGUUAUACAACAGUUUUUGUGUCAGCUUUGCACUCACUGUUGUCUAACUUGUUUGUAAUUUGGUCUCGAAAAGAGGACUGGUAAAGAAUUCACAAGUUGUUUGUAUUUAAUAUAUUGUUUAAAUGUUAGUACAUCCUGGGCAUCAAUAAUCUUGUAUUUCCAAUCCAGCUUCUCACUUCUUCAAAUUUGUUUUGGCUUACAGUAUUUGAUUUGUGUUUGUAAUACGUGUGUAUUGAUAUGCACAUCUAUAUCCCUAUUACUCAUUACUUUGUUAGUGAUCUCUUACAAAACAUUGAGUGUAUAUGCUUAUUGUGUAUAUUAUGUUUUCAUGUGUAUUUUCUAUUUCUGAAACAUAAGUAUCCUCAUGGGUGCUCACAAUGUUAUCCAGUGAUGGCAGGAUUAGUUAUACCAUAAUUCAGAAUGAAAUAAAGUACUGUUUGAUGUUUCAUGUGCACAGCUGUUUUAAUUCAUGUACCUGUGAGUGAAAAGUGUGUAAAAUGUCAGACUAUAGCCACAAAGAUCACUUUUCAU